rnacentral:lncRNA from 1 species
AUGUCCGGAGCCCUUGAUGUCCUACAAAUGAAGGAGGAGGAUGUCCUUAAGUUCCUUGCAGCAGGAACCCACUUAGGUGGCACUAAUCUUGACUUCCAGAUGGAACAGUACGUCUAUAAAAGGAAGUGAUGGCAUCUACAUCCUAAAUCUGAAGAGGACCUGGGAGAAGCUUCUGCUGGCAGCUCGUGCCAUUGUUGCCAUUGAAAACCCUGCUGAUGUCAGUGUCAUAUCCUCCAGGAAUACUGGCCAGAGGGCUGUGCUGAAGUUUGCUGCUGCUGGAACCACUCCAAUUGCUGACCGCUUCACCCCUGGAACCUUCACCAAUCAGAUCCAGGCAGCUUUCCGGGAGCCAUGGCUUCUUGUGUUUACUGACCCCAGAGCUGACCACCAGCCUCUCCCGGAGACAUCUUAUGUUAACCUACCUACCAUUGCUCUGUAACACAGAUUCUCCUCUGUGCUAUGUGGACAUUGCCAUCCCAUGCAACAACAAGGGAGCUCACUCAGUGGGUCUGAUGUGGUGGAUGCUGGCUCGGGAAGUUCUGCGCAUGCGUGGCACCAUUUCCCGUGAACACCCAUAGGAGGUCAUGCCUGAUCUCUGCUUCUACAGAGAUCCUGAAGAGAUUGAAAAAGAAGAGCAGGCUGCUGCUGAAAAGGCUGUGACCAAGAAGGAACUUCAGGGCGAAUGGACUGCUCCAGCUCCUGAGUUCACUGCUACUCAGCCUGAGGUUGCAGACUGGUCUGAAGGUGUGCAGGUGCCCUCUGUGCCUAUCCAGCAGAUCCCUACUGAAGACUAGAGCUCUCAGCAUGCCACGGAAGACUGGUCUACAGCUCCCACUGCUCAGGCCACUGAAUGGGUAGGAGCAACCACUGAAUGGUCUUAA